GGCUCCGUGGCGCAAUGGAUAGCGCAUUGGACUUCUAGGCUGAAAUGAGGUGAUUCAAAGGUUGUGGGUUCGAGUCCCACCGGAGUCG